rnacentral:rRNA from 1 species
AGAGUUUGAUCCUGGCUCAGGAUGAACGCUAGCGGCAGGCUUAACACAUGCAAGUCGAGGGGCAGCGGGGAGGAAGCUUGCUUUCUCCGCCGGCGACCGGCGCACGGGUGAGUAACACGUAUGCAACCUGCCCCUGUCAGGGGGACAACCCGCCGAAAGGCGGGCUAAACCCGCGUACAUGCCACCGGGGCAUCCCGGAGGCAGGAAAGGCUUCGGCCGGACAGGGAUGGGCAUGCGGCGCAUUAGGCAGUAGGCGGGGUAACGGCCCACCUAACCGACGAUGCGUAGGGGUUCUGAGAGGAAGGUCCCCCACACUGGUACUGAGACACGGACCAGACUCCUACGGGAGGCAGCAGUGAGGAAUAUUGGUCAAUGGUCGGGAGACUGAACCAGCCAAGCCGCGUGAGGGAUGAAGGUACAGAGUAUCGUAAACCUCUUUUGUCAGGGAACAAAGGCGGGGACGCGUCCCCGGAUGAGUGUACCUGAAGAAAAAGCAUCGGCUAACUCCGUGCCAGCAGCCGCGGUAAUACGGAGGAUGCGAGCGUUAUCCGGAUUUAUUGGGUUUAAAGGGUGCGCAGGCGGUCUGUUAAGUCAGCGGUCAAAGCCCGGGGCUCAACCCCGGCCCGCCGUUGAAACUGGCAGUCUCGAGUUGGAGAGAAGUAUGCGGAAUGCGCGGUGUAGCGGUGAAAUGCAUAGAUAUCGCGCAGAACUCCGAUUGCGAAGGCAGCAUGCCGGCUCCACACUGACGCUGAGGCACGAAAGCGUGGGUAUCGAACAGGAUUAGAUACCCUGGUAGUCCACGCAGUAAACGAUGAAUGCUGGCUGUCCGGGGGGACUGACCCCUGGGUGGCGAAGCGAAAGCGAUAAGCAUUCCACCUGGGGAGUACGCCGGCAACGGUGAAACUCAAAGGAAUUGACGGGGGCCCGCACAAGCGGAGGAACAUGUGGUUUAAUUCGAUGAUACGCGAGGAACCUUACCCGGGCUCAAACGGGGAGUGACUCAGGCAGAGACGCCUGUUUCCCACGGGACACUCCCCGAGGUGCUGCAUGGUUGUCGUCAGCUCGUGCCGUGAGGUGUCGGCUUAAGUGCCAUAACGAGCGCAACCCCCGCGUGCAGUUGCUAACAGAUAACGCUGAGGACUCUGCACGGACUGCCGGCGCAAGCCGCGAGGAAGGCGGGGAGGACGUCAAAUCAGCACGGCCCUUACGUCCGGGGCGACACACGUGUUACAAUGGGUGGUACAGCGGGAAGCCAGGCGGCGACGCCGAGCGGAACCCGAAAUCCACUCUCAGUUCGGAUCGGAGUCUGCAACCCGACUCCGUGAAGCUGGAUUCGCUAGUAAUCGCGCAUCAGCCAUGGCGCGGUGAAUACGUUCCCGGGCCUUGCACUCACCGCCCGUCA